UACGUAGGGGGCAAGCGUUGUCCGGAUUUAUUGGGCGUAAAGAGCGUGUAGGCGGCCAGGUAGGUCCGUUGUGAAAACUCGAGGCUCAACCUCGAGACGUCGGCGGAAACCCUCUGGCUAGAGUCCGGAAGAGGAGAGUGGAAUUCCUGGUGUAGCGGUGAAAUGCGCAGAUAUCAGGAAGAACACCCGUGGCGAAGGCGGCUCUCUGGGACGGUACUGACGCUGAGACGCGAAAAGCGUGGGGGAGCAAACAGG
rnacentral:rRNA from 1 species